rnacentral:misc_RNA from 1 species
UACGUAGGUGGCAAGCGUUGUUCGGAAUUACUGGGCGUAAAGCGCGCGCAGGCGGCCUCUUAAGUCGGAUGUGAAAGCCCCCGGCUCAACCUGGGAGUGCCAUUGGAAACUGGGAGGCUUGAGUAUAGGAGAGAAGAGUGGAAUUCCACGUGUAGCGGUGAAAUGCGUAGAGAUGUGGAGGAAUACCAGUGGCGAAGGCGGCUCUCUGGCCUAUAACUGACGCUGAGGCGCGAAAGCAUGGGGAGCAAACAGG